rnacentral:rRNA from 1 species
CCUACGGGUGGCAGCAGUCGAGAAUUAUUCACAAUGGGGGAAACCCUGAUGGGGCGACGCCGCGUGGGGGAAUGAAGGUCUGCGGAUUGUAAACCCCUGUCAUGUGGGAGCAAAUUAAAAAGAUAGUACCACAAGAGGAAGAGACGGCUAACGCUGUGCCAGCAGCCGCGGUAAUACAGAGGUCUCAAGCGUUGUUCGGAACCACUGGGCGUAAAGGGUGCGUAGGCUGUUUCGUAAGUCGUGUGUGAAAGGCGCGGGCUCAACCCGCGGACGGCACAUGAUACUGCGAGACUAGAGUAAUGGAGGGGGAACCGGAAUUCUCGGUGUAGCCGUGAAAUGCGUAGAUAUCGAGAGGAACACUCGUGGCGAAGGCGGGUUCCUGGACAUUAACUGACGCUGAGGCACGAAGGCCAGGGGAGCGAUAGGGAUUAGAUACCCCAGUAGUC